AAAAUAAGUGUUGUGUUCAACAACCGGAUUCAUAAAUUUGCUUUCCGAGUAGCCCCUAAUAAGGGGCUUUUUUUAUGCA
rfam:Actinobacillus minor NM305 Contig_170a, whole genome shotgun sequence.